GCCUCCCAAGUAACUGGGAUUACAGUCACAUGCCACCAUACCCGGAUUCAUUGAAGAAGAAUUGAAUUAGGUGAUAGCAAGCCACUUGCAAUAAUGAAUGAAAUUUACAGAAAACUUGAGGCAGAGAUGUGGUUCAACCAGUUACAGGCGCUUUGAAAGGAACCACUUCAACCUGGCCCCAGAUGAGAAAACAGAGACUUAAAGAAUCACCCAGGAUGGCACUACUGGGAUUUCAAACAAGCAAUAUGACUCACAAUUGGGUCUUUCAGGGGAGACCACAAGAAGAGCUUGGACUUUUGCUUCCACGUGGCAGUAACAAGGCGCUUCAACCUUCCCCCGACUGGAGCAGUAUCAGAGGAAACCUGAUAAAACCAAAGAUUUAAAUAAGAUCCAGAGUCUCACAACAUAAUAACCAAAGUGUCCAGGGUUGCAUUUUCAAAAUCUUUCAUUAUUCUAAGAACCAAGAUCUUAACUAGAAUGAGAAAAGACAAUCCACAGAUGGCAGCACUGAGACGGCACGGAUAUUUGAACUGUCCGAAAAGGAUUUCAAAGCCUUCAUCAUACAAUGACUCGAUGAGAAAUUUUGAACAUGCUUGAAGCAAAUGAAAAGUAGAAAGCUUUGGUGAAGAAAUAGAAUAUGUAAAGAAGAGCCAAAUAAAACCUUUAACUGAAAAAAAUACAAUAAAAUGUUAAAACUCACAGGAUGGGCUCAAUAAUAGAUGAAAGAAGACAAAAGAAUACAUCAAUUAAUUUGAAGUUAGAUCAAUAAAAUGUAACCAACUUCAACAACAUGAAGAAAAUACACUGAAGAAAAAAUCAACAGAACCUUAGGGACUUGAGGAACCUUAACAAAAAUCAAUAAAUUGUAUUAUCAGAAAGGAAUAAGAGUGAGAUUAAGAGAAUAAGAGUGAAAAAGUGUUCAACAAACUCACAGCUAAAAUUUUCCUGAAUUUGGCAUAAGACAUAAACCUAUAGAUUUCACAGGCUAAUUGAGCCUUAAACAAAAAAAAAAAAAAACCAAAGAAAUAUAACCAAGACACAUUAUAAUCAAACUUCAGAAAACUAAAGACAGUGAAAAGGUUGAAA